rnacentral:miRNA from 1 species
AGGGGGCGCAGUCACUGACGUG